rnacentral:rRNA from 1 species
CCCUUAGAUGUUCUGGGCCGCACGCGUGCUACACUGAGUGGAUCAGCGGGUCAGGUUGCGCGAAAGCGUUUCCUAAUCUUUAAAUCCGCUCGUGAUGGGGAUUGACGGUUGCAAUUUUCUGUCAUGAACGAGGAAUACCUUGUAAGCGCGGGUCAUCAUCCCGCGCUGAAUACGUCCCUGCCCUUUGUACACACCGCCCGUCGCUCCUACCGAUUGAGUGGUCCGGUGAGGCUUUGGGAUCUGAGCGGAAAGAGCGUUUCGCUGUUUCUGAUCGGAAAACUCAGUCGAACCUUAUCAUUUAGAGGAAGGAGAAGUCGUAACA